rnacentral:rRNA from 1 species
UGGGGAAUUUUGGACAAUGGGCGCAAGCCUGAUCCAGCCAUGCCGCGUGCGGGAAGAAGGCCUUCGGGUUGUAAACCGCUUUUGUCAGGGAAGAAAUCUUCUGAGUUAAUACCUCGGGAGGAUGACGGUACCUGAAGAAUAAGCACCGGCUAACUACGUGCCAGCAGCCGCGGUAAUACGUAGGGUGCAAGCGUUAAUCGGAAUUACUGGGCGUAAAGCGUGCGCAGGCGGUUUUGUAAGACAGAGGUGAAAUCCCCGGGCUCAACCUGGGAACUGCCUUUGUGACUGCAAGGCUUGAGUGCGGCGGAGGGGGGAUGGAAUUCCGCGUGUAGCAGUGAAGUGCGUAGAUAUGCGGAGGAACACCGAUGGCGAAGGCAAUCCCCCUGGGCCUGCACUGACGCUCAUGCACGAAAGCGUGGGGAGCAAAACAGGAUUAGAUACCCUGGUAGUCCACGCCCUAAACGAUGUCAACUGGUUGUUGGGAAGGUUCCUUCUCAGUAACGUAGCUAACGCGUGAAGUUGACCGCCUGGGGAGUACGGCCGCAAGGUUGAAACUUAAAUGAAUUGAC